AUGCGAGGCAAGAGCAAGAUUCAGAUUUUUUUCUUCAGGUACUUGGUUGACGAAGGUGGCCAUCUGAAGGGACUGUUCUGGUGUGAUAGUCAAUCCCGACUUGACUACGAGGCUUUCGGAGACGUUAUUGUUUUUGAUAGCACAUACAGAACUAAUAAGUACAAUCUGCCAUUUGUGCUGUUUGUCGGGCUGAAUCACCACCGCAGCACCGUUAUUUUUGCAUGUGGUAUCAUUUCACAUGAAACAAGCCAAGCAUACGAGUGGAUGUUACAGACCUUUUCUGAUGCUAUGGGACAGAAGCAUCCUAUAUCUAUGAUCACGGAUGGGGACCUUGCAAUGCAGAGAGCAAUCAGGGUGGUGUGGCCUGACUCAAACCAUAUGCUCUGUAUAUGGCACAUUCAGCAGAACAUUGUACACCAUCUGCAUGAUGACGCGGUAAAGGAGGAAUUCAGAUCUUUCAUAUAUGAUACAUCUUCCAUUGAAGAGCAUGAGAGAAAAUGGUUACACUUCUUAUAG
rnacentral:rRNA from 1 species